UCGUCAUAGGAGCCACAUCGAGUAUCAAGUUUUACCUCGUCAGUUUCGAGAAGGACAGUUUGCCCGCUGUCAGAAGUUUUGUGAGUACUACAAGUUUGGUAGCUAACUAAAUCGAAAUCGCUCUGUCGUCUUACCCUUGGAGAGAUUCUUGUGGAGCAGUUUGCUCAUUGAACCGGUUGCUUGCCACGUUUAUAACGGUCACUGUGUUUAACCUUUGGAAGGUUAGUAAAGUUGUAUGUAUCAUUACUGAACAUUGAUUUAUCUAGUAUUCGUUGGUCUAGACAAUAUCUAGACGUGCUGAUAUUGAAGUUGUGGAAACAGCUACAUCCACUUAAUUUCGUUGAAAACCGUUAAUCGUCUAACGGAACGUCGUCGGAGGUGACCUUGGUUUCACCUAGUCUACAUUGGACAGUUUGGUCUAGUGAAGCAGAGUACAACAGCAAACUUCGUCGUACUACCAGAGUAGCAGCAGAAGCAGUGAACUAUUGUAGAGAACCGUUAUUCGUCAGCCCAGAUCAAGUCAUCGUCAAGAAAGUCGUUAUUCGUCAGCCCAGAUCAAGUCAUCGUCAAGAAAUUCGUUAUUCGUCAGUCGUCCAGAUCAAGUUGCCGUCAAGAGACUGUUAUUUGUCAGUAGUCGUCUACACAAGUCAAGUCAUCGCCAGAGGAACCGUUAACCUAUUCGUCAGUAACUGUGUACACAAAGUCGUCGGAACUACACAUACAGUCAUCAACAGUCGUCGAAGAAACUGAAACAUUUUGCUCAUUUUGCUGUGGCAUAUCAAGACAUCUGUGGCAUUACGUGGGAUACUGGUAGCACCGGAGAACAGAGUCAGAACUGGAAGAGAGGCAGUGGAAUUUGUUGUGAUCUAGCAUAUUCGGGAGUCCGAACAAAGGGAUCUUUCUUAUCAAAAGCUAAGUGCCAUUUUUCUUAUUAGUAUAUGUUUAGAUUGCCCUUAGAAAUAGAUUUUGUCUAAAUUUGGUAUGUUAUCCUGAGUAAAUUCAGGUGGUGCUGAAGCCUUAAACCCGUUCGGGGUAAAGACAUAAUUUAGAUGAAAAGCUAUAUUAUACGUUUAGAGUUGUAAUUUGUUUUGUUUGUGUAAACGUCAUAUCCGUUGUUGCCUGGUUACUUCGUGACGUUAUCAUUGUGUGCCAUAUUGUCAUUUCCCAACCCAUAGUGAUAGUCUCAUUUAAUUAUUUCAUUUGUUUAUAUUAUUUUAAAUUAUUUAUUUUUAUUAAUUUAAUUAGAUCUGUAUUUUUUUUUCACUUAAUGAUAGAAAGUGCGGGUAGGAUUCUUUUACUGUGAAUCAGACUAAAAUAAUUUUAGUUUGAGCGGUUAAAAUCAAAUAUGAUUUUGCCAUGAGAAUAAUGCCGAAACUGGCUAUGUAGUCAAACACUGUCGUCUGGCUAAAUAUAGAUCUACAAAUUUUGUACAUCUCUUUGGUACAAUUAAAUUAUCUAGACUCGAAUUUGGAAUAUUAUUAAUUGAAAGAUGAAUGAAGAUUACUACCAGUAAAGAACAUUUGAGAUGUGUAGGACGUGCCCAUAAGAUGCCACAUUUUUAUCCAUGAUGAACUGUGUACCAAUGAAGAUGAUUCUGGAAUGUUAUGAACUGUUAUGAACAUUGACAUGAAUAUGAGGAACUGUCAAGAUGAAGAUGUCAAGAUGAAGAGAUCAAGAUUUUAUGUUUGUGGUCUUCCCCUUAAAUUGAAAAUGCCCUUGUAAGACUUGACAGUAGUGGAAAAAUAUUGACAUAUUUUUUUUUUCAA